rnacentral:rRNA from 1 species
UACGUAGGGUGCAAGCGUUAAUCGGAAUUACUGGGCGUAAAGCGUGCGUAGGUGGUGAGUUAAGUCUGUCGUGAAAGCCCCGGGCUCAACCUGGGAAUGGCGAUGGAUACUGGCUCGCUAGAGUCCGGAAGGGGCGAGUGGAAUUCCUGGUGUAGCGGUGAAAUGCGCAGAUAUCAGGAGGAACACCAAUGGCGAAGGCAGCUCGCUGGAACGGUACUGACGCUGUGGCGCGAAAGCGUGGGGAGCGAACAGG